UACGUAGGGGGCGAGCGUUGUCCAGAGUUACUGGGCGUAAAGCGCACGCAGGCGGUCUGCUAAGUUUGGAGUGACAGUUGGUGGCUUAACUGCCAAAGUGCUUCGAAAACUGACAGACUUGAGGGCUUCAGAGGGACACGGAAUUCCGGGUGGAGUGGUGAAAUGCGUAGAGAUCCGGAGGAACACCAAAGGCGAAGGCAGUGUCCUGGGGAGUACCUGACGCUCAGGUGCGAAAGCCAGGGGAGCGAACGGG
rnacentral:rRNA from 1 species